AGUGAACGCUGGCGGUAGGCCUAACACAUGCAAGUCGAACGGCAGCACAGUAAGAGCUUGCUCUUACGGGUGGCGAGUGGCGGACGGGUGAGGAAUACAUCGGAAUCUACCUUUUCGUGGGGGAUAACGUAGGGAAACUUACGCUAAUACCGCAUACGACCUACGGGUGAAAGCAGGGGAUCUUCGGACCUUGCGCGAUUGAAUGAGCCGAUGUCGGAUUAGCUAGUUGGCGGGGGAAAGGCCCACCAAGGCGACGUUCCGUAGCUGGUCUGGGAGGAGGAUCACCACCAUGGGACCUGAGAACCGGCCCGGCUCCUACGGGAGGGCGGCGGUGGGAAUAUUGGACAAUGGGCGCAAGCCUGAUCCAGCCAUACCGCGUGGGUGAAGAAGGCCUUCGGGUUGUAAAGCCCUUUUGUUGGGAAAGAAAAGCAGCAGGUUAAUACCCCGCUGUUCUGACGGUACCCAAAGAAUAAGCACCGGCUAACUUCGUG
rnacentral:rRNA from 1 species